rnacentral:rRNA from 1 species
UACGUAGGGGGCAAGCGUUGUCCGGAAUUAUUGGGCGUAAAGGGCUCGUAGGCGGUUUGUCGCGUCGGGAGUGAAAACCUCGGGCUUAACUCGGGGCUUGCUUUCGAUACGGGCAGACUAGAGGUAUGCAGGGGAGAACGGAAUUCCUGGUGUAGCGGUGAAAUGCGCAGAUAUCAGGAGGAACACCGGUGGCGAAGGCGGUUCUCUGGGCAUGAUCUGACGCUGAGGAGCGAAAGUGUGGGGAGCGAACAGG